ensembl:snRNA U6 U6 spliceosomal RNA
GUGUUUCCUUCAGCAGUACAAAUACUAAAAUUGGAAUGAUACAGAAAUUAACAUGGCCCCUGCACAAGGAAGACAUGCAAAUUUUUGAAGCCUUCCAUGUUAUU